GGCCCUCAGUCAGGUUCCCAGAACAAGGCUACAACGUCUGGCUCCAUGACUUAAUUGAGUGAAACUGAAAUUUCCCCAACGCCUGGAGACAUUUGGAAGGAGGAGCUCACCUAUGCUGAACAAAUCCUUUAUGUUACCACAUCAGCCGUGAUGAAACCAAGGCAGAUCAAUGUUCACGAGGGAUUUACAGGCGUGCCAGCUGCUGCCAGCAAACCCCGGUGCUCUGGGACUCAAACAGCACUAAGGAGUCGCCCUGCUGAGUGCCACAGCAUCUGCAGCUGCCUCAGGUCGUGCUGCUGUUGUGCAUCUGAGUGCCAGUGCUAGAAAUGAAAAGGUUCAAAGAAUUGUGACACCAAGGAAAGGCCCAAAGCUGCACUCUGCUCCUGACAGCUUCUCUUCACAGCACCGUUUUCCUCUGAGCAUGUUCCAGUGUCUCUGCACUGCCUGCCCACUGCAGCAGCUGGGGCCAGCCAAAGCAGGCUCGCCUAGCCUGGUGUUCCUGCUGGGAGCUUCUCACAGCACGAGCAACCUCCUCUCCAGCACAUCACAGGUGUUCUCCACAUGAU